CCCUAGUCGGGGACUCGAGUCCGAUGCUUGGCUUGAGUCCUCGCCGGUAAUAAACUCCUGUGUGGAUUUAAUGUCGGUCUCUGGUUGGUUCUCUCUCACUGGGUGCAACAUUCUUGGAGGCCCCAGAGAGAUGGCCAGCUGCUCUGGAGCUUAUUCUCUUGGAGCCUUUGUUUCUUUUUAGGAGAGACCAGGAUCAGACAUCAGCGGUGUUUGGCCCCUCUGGACACCAGUCUGCGGAAAGAGAGGCCACCCUGACGGUAUUCCAGGGCUCUGGGUAGACCAGUCCCAGUCCGGCCCUAUCGCUGAUCAACCAACCCGCAGGAGUAUAUCGGGAAAGCCUCUAGAGUCCAGAAACCAGGCACAGAUGACUUCUGACCAGUCCAGGACUUGAGAGAAGUCAAUAAGAGAGUGGAAACCAUUCACCCCAUGGUCCCAAAUCCUUACACAUUGCUGAGCUUAAUUCCCCCAGAGAGACAGGUCUACACCGUUCUGGAUCUCAAGGAUGCCUUCUUCAGUAUCCCAUUGGCUAAGACUCUGACCUGUGCAAGCCCCUCCAUGACUGUCUGGACACUCUGACAACUUCUACCACCAACCGCCCAGACCUGACUGACAUUCCCCUGCAAAGCCCAGAUGAGACCUUCUUCACCGAUGGAAGCAGCUUCGUUGAAGAUGGAGUCAGGACUGACCUCUAUGGUCCAGGACAUCAGUUCCAGAUGUCAAGUGUGUGCACAGGUAAACUCCAAGUCUCUUCAAGCCUUACAGAUUCUUCAGAGUGAGAUCCAGGCUACAAUACAAUAAGCUCAAGAAAAAUCCUUUAUGACAUUCCAGUCCCAUGGUUUCAAGCCAGGAGACCUGGUCCUAAUAUGCCGACAUCAGACUAAGAACCUUGAGCCACGUUGGAAGGGGCCAUACCCUGUUAUUUUGGUAACCCCCUCCAUGGUCAAAGUAGCCGGGGUCACAGCUUGGAUUCGUGACACCCAAGUCAAGUCAGCACCAGCAGAGAGCCCAGAGCCAGCACAAUGGAAGAUCCUAAGUGCCCCAGGAGACUUAAAGUUAAAAUUGGGAAAAGAAGACUAGUGCUCCUGGUAUAUAUUCUCUAUCAAUCAUGUCAGCUUGGGGGAACAAAUAACUUGUUCCUUCCCUGUUCAGAAACUUGGGAAUUAAGACUAACUUCUAGUGGGAAAAUCCUGGCAAAAAUAGAAAGAGGACCCGACCAAUCCGAGGUCACCUUUACUGCUAGCUUAUGUCAUAUGGUUGAGGAGGCCUCGUAUUAUGGGAACAGGGGCUGUGCAAAAUCUGGAUGCUGUACUCUCACUAAAUGGGGACUCCAUCCUGUCCAAUAUUAUGUAUAUCCAGAAAAUGAAGAUGCAUA